UACGUAGGGGGCAAGCGUUGUCCGGAAUCAUUGGGCGUAAAGCGCGUGUAGGCGGCCAGAAAAGUCCGCUGUGAAAACUCGAGGCUCAACUUCGAGCUGUCGGUGGAAACUUUCUGGCUAGAGUCCGGAAGAGGAGAAUGGAAUUCCUGGUGUAGCGGUGAAAUGCGCAGAUAUCAGGAAGAACACCCGUGGCGAAGGCGGUUCUCUGGGACGGUACUGACGCUGAGACACGAAGACGUGGGGAGCGAACAGG
rnacentral:rRNA from 1 species